GAGUUCCAGAACAUUCUGGGAACAGGGCAGGUGGGAGGUGGGAGACCGAGGCAGGACAGGAGGGCAGCACCCUGGAGGCGCUCCUCUCCCUCCCGCAGCCCAGCCCCCACUGGCCUCACCUUCACAGCACCGUGGAGCUGGUAGCGGAAGGCACGUGCUAGACUCGGGGGGUCCGAGCCUGCUGCCUGCCCCUCACCACGGGUGCCUCUCCACAUGAUUUCAAGCACGGUCCCCACGAGGGGCAGCCCCUGGCCUGCCAGCCACCGAGGCCACAGGUCCCACAGCAUGGCCAGGCAGCCCAGCUCCCAGCAGAAAGCCUCACCUGCCUUCCAGAGCUGCCCUGCCCCUCCCCGGUCCCCCUGCUGCAGCUCAGGUCUGACAGCUCUGCAGCUGGAGGCUGAAGGAACAUCCAAUGAGGUGAUUCCAAUGAACCAGCUGGGCAAGCUCAGACCAGAAAUUCCCAGAACUAGAGGUGCUGUGACUGCCGGUGGCCGGGAUCCAAGGCAGGGCGUGUGGUUGUCUAGGUGAGGAGUGAUGGACAGGGGUGCCCAGGGACCCACACUGCAGGAUUCCAAGGCCCAGGGCUGAGGGUGGCAGAGCCUGGGUUGGGAGCCAAGCUCCUGAAUACAUGACAGGCUUUCUGGACUGCGCCAUUCUCUCCCAGAAGCCACCUGCCCAGUACCUCAUCCAUCCCUGUCCUAGCCGGUCCAUACCCUCACAUGACCCUCUGGGUUAUCGCCUGACGUGAUGGGGAGAUGCCCAGCCUGUGAGUGACGACAGCAGGGUCCCUCUCCGUGCUGCCAACUCCGCUGUGGUCCACAGAAGCGCUGCCCUGAUUAAGCCACUAAUCCCCCACUCUUCACGGUUCCUGGCUAACUUACUACCAUCCACGGUUACUGCAUCAAAGCGCACGGGGAGGGGAGCAAAAGACACCUCCAUAGGCGUGGUUUCUUGCUUUGCUCUUUAUUCUGAGGGCAGCCUCCGUCUCCAGCCUUCUCUGUGGAGGACAGAGAGUCUUGGGAACAAAGAAUGGCGUGUGGGAAGCGGGGUCACGUAUGAAACCGGAACAGAAGAAAACACGCGUUCUGCACUCUAGCGCUUCAAACACAGAUCGCAGCAGGGACGGGCCAGCACAGCAAGACCAGGAAGCGGGGCCGCCCCGAGAAGCACAGCCUGAGCCGGCAGACUGGGCCUGGGCCAGCGCCGCUCCUCGUGGGUGGGGGUGGCCGCUGUGUGACUUCCUUCUCCACGCGCCGUUCUGCAGGGCUCUUGGGGAGUGCUGCCCAGCCUCAUGGGCCUGAGCAGAGCACCCCCACCCCCAACGCUGUGAACGGUGCUGCCGGCACAGGGAGCACGCCAGGGAGGAGCACCUCCCCUUAGCGUCAGCAGCUGGGUCACCACAGUAUGACUGCAGCUGACAGAGGACAGGCACAGCCCCCACCCUCACUACCACUGAAGACAUUGGGCCACCAGUGUCUGCAAAGACACCAGGCCCCAGCACUCUGCCCCAAGCACUCUCGAGAUCUGGCGCGAGUUCUCUUCUCCCUGAACACCUCCCCAGCACAGCAGCAGCCCCUCGCCGUCAGCCCUACCUGACUGUCCCCUGUGUGCAGCAGUCUGCUCUCCUGUGAAACUAAGCUGGGCGAUGACAGCCGGGCCAAGCUCUAAGGCAGGUGCACAGGAAGCGGCUGGAGGGAGAAAGGCGGCCUGAGCACGAGGACUGAGCUCCCAGGCGCUGCCCCAACCCGCCUGCCUGCUGACGCGGGAGCAGGUGCCUCUGCAGUUGUCUGUCCAGAGACUGCAGAGCCGGGAGCUGCUGGGCCCCGCGGGGAGACCCCGAGGCCCUCUCCUAGACAGAGAAUGGCACUCUCCUAAGCUCUCACACAUACAGCAUCCGGCCAGAGAGGGUGUUUCCAACACACUGGAUGAUCCGUUCUCCAAGUAUUCCUACACACUGACACUUCCUCUUGCUUCUCACUUGACCUCAUUGAAAUAUGAGUUACCCGGA